AGUUGUAUGAGAGAUGUUGGUGUUUUGAAUGGGGAUAGAGUACGUUAUCAUCGGUAUAUUAGAGUUGUAUAAGAGAUGUUGUAGGUGUUGUGAAUGGGUAUAGAGUACGUUAUCAUCGGUAUAUUAGAGUUGUAUAAGAGAUGUUGUAGGUUUUGUGAAUGGGUAUAGAGUACGUUAUCAUCGGUAUAUUAGAGUUGUAUAAGAGAUGUUGUAGGUGUUGUGAAUGGGUAUAGAGUACGUUAUCAUCGGGAUAUUAGAGUUGUAUAAGAGAUGUUGUAGGUGUUGUGAAUGGGUAUAGAGUAUGUUAUCAUCGGGAUAUUAGAGUUGUAUAAGAGAUGUUGUAGGUGUUGUGAAUGGGUAUAGAGUACGUUAUCAUCGGUAUAUUAGACUUGUAUCAAGAGAUGUUGUAGGUGUUGUGAAUGGGUAUAGAGUACGUUAUCAUCGGUAUAUUAGAGUUGUAUAAGAGAUGUUGUAGGUGUUGUGAAUGGGUAUAGAGUACGUUAUCAUCGGGAUAUUAGAGUUGUAUAAGAGAUGUUGUAGGUGUUGUGAAUGGGUAUAGAGUACGUUAUCAUCGGGAUAUUAGAGUUGUAUAAGAGAUGUUGUAGGUGUUGUGAAUGGGUAUAGAGUACGUUAUCAUCGGUAUAUUAGAGUUGUAUAAGAGAUGUUGUAGGUGUUGUGAAUGGGUAUAGAGUACGUUAUCAUCGGUAUAUUAGAGUUGUAUAAGAGAUGUUGUAGGUUUUGUGAAUGGGUAUAGAGUACGUUAUCAUCGGGAUAUUAGAGUUGUAUAAGAGAUGUUGUAGGUGUUGUGAAUGGGUAUAGAGUACGUUAUCAUCGGGAUAUUAGAGUUGUAUAAGAGAUGUUGUAGGUGUUGUGAAUGGGUAUAGAGUACGUUAUCAUCGGUAUAUUAGUGUUGUAUAAGAGAUGUUGUAGGUUUUGUGAAUGGGUAUAGAGUACGUUAUCAUCGGGAUAUUAGAGUUGUAUAAGAGAUGUUGUAGGUGUUGUGAAUGGGUAUAGAGUACGUUAUCAUUGGUAUAUUAGAGUUGUAUAAGAGAUGUUGUAGGUGUUGUGAAUGGGUAUAGAGUACGUUAUCAUCGGGAUAUUAGAGUUGUAUAAGAGAUGUUGUAGGUGUUGUGAAUGGGUAUAGAGUACGUUAUCAUCGGGAUAUUAGAGUUGUAUAAGAGAUGUUGUAGGUGUUGUGAAUGGGUAUAGAGUACGUUAUCAUCGGUAUAUUAGAGUUGUAUAAGAGAUGUUGUAGGUGUUGUGAAUGGGUAUAGAGUACGUUAUCAUCGGGAUAUUAGAGUUGUAUAAGAGAUGUUGUAGGUGUUGUGAAUGGGUAUAGAGUACGUUAUCAUCGGUAUAUUAGAGUUGUAUAAGAGAUGUUGGUGUUUUGAGUGGGUAUAGAGUACGGUAUCAUCGGUAUAUUAGAGUUGUAUAAGAGAUGUUGUAGGUGUUGUGAAUGGGUAUAGAGUACGUUAUCAUCGGGAUAUUAGAGUUGUAUAAGAGAUGUUGUAGGUGUUGUGAAUGGGUAUAGAGUACGUUAUCAUUGGUAUAUUAGAGUUGUAUAAGAGAUGUUGUAGGUGUUGUGAAUGGGUAUAGAGUACGUUAUCAUCGGUAUAUUAGAGUUGUAUAAGAGAUGUUGUAGGUGUUGUGAAUGGGUACAGAGUACGUUAUCAUCGGUAUAUUAGAGUUGUAUAAGAGAUGUUGUAGGUGUUGUGAAUGGGUACAGAGUACGUUAUCAUCGGUAUAUUAGAGUUGUAUAAGAGAUGUUGUAGGUGUUGUGAAUGGGUAUAGAGUACGUUAUCAUCGGUAUAUUAGAGUUGUAUAAGAGAUGUUGUAGGUGUUGUGAAUGGGUAUAGAGUACGUUAUCAUCGGUAUAUUAGAGUUGUAUAAGAGAUGUUGGUGUUUUGAAUGGGUAUAGAGUACGUUAUCAUCGGUAUAUUAGAGUUGUAUAAGAGAUGUUGUAGGUGUUGUGAAUGGGUAUAGAGUACGUUAUCAUCGGUAUAUUAGAGUUGUAUAAGAGAUGUUGUAGGUGUUGUGAAUGGGUAUAGAGUACGUUAUCAUAGGGAUAUUGCAGUUGUGCAAGAGAUGUUGUAGGUUUUUUUGUGAAUGGGUAUAGAGUACGUUAUCAUCGGGAUAUUGUAGUUGUGUAAGAGAUGUUGUAGGUUUUCUGAAUGGGUAUAGAGUACGUUAUCAUGGGUAUAUUAGAAACGUUAGGAUUGUAUGAUGAUGUUGUUAUUAUUAUUAUUAUUAUUAUUAUUAUUAUUGAGAGGCUGGGUGGCCAUCUGUUGGGAGUGCUUGGAUUGUGUCCUGCAUGGCAGAUGGUGGGAGGUGUUAGCUGGCCGUGAUUGUUUAGUGUCUGGCAUUCCUGUGUUUUAAUAGUGUUGUUUUUUAUUUGGUGUUGUGAUUUUAAUCUUGUUAAAAUACUAGGAGUCAGAUUGUGUUGAUUGUCAUGGUUGAUAGCAUACAUUUAAAAUAUUGAGUGUUAAAAUGGGUUGGAUAUCGUAGAAGGGAGAGUAUAUGGAGAGAAAUAAUUCGGAUGAUGGGCGGGCGCUAGGACCCAGGGGACAGCUUUUUCCCAUUGCCUGCCUUCCCUGUUGCCGGCGGCGGCCAUUAUGUUUUCUGUUUUCCUCCCUCCCGGCAUGGCUCCCAAUGGGGCGUUGUGGGUUCUCUCCAUGUGGAGCUGCGUGAAGUGAGUUUGUGUUGUUUCAACCUUAAGGCGUGGAUGAUGGGUUGUUUUGUCAAAUUUCGAGGUUGGGGGCCCUUUACUUUUGUUGUUUUGCUCGGUGCUCGAAUUCCAUCACUCUUUUAUAUAUAUAGAUUGGUUUAAUUUUGUAUUGUACUGUGUGUUUAUUUUAUGUGUUGUUUUAGGCACCUUGUGCUAUAUGUAAAGCCACGCCGAGUCCCUUCGGGGAGAUUGAGGCGGGGUACAAAAAAAAGUUAUUAUUAUUUAUAUUGACACAAAGACAUAGUAUGACACAGCAAACGAGAUAUAUAUGCUGGAUUUCGUAUCACAAAAUCACAAGUCGAACAUUUCCCAAGUGUCUAGGACUGUGAGAUGUAUUUUUGGAUGAUGCGUGCAGAUGCCAGUAAGGCAGCCUUUUGCAGUUGAUGGAUCGUAAUUUUAUCAAUGUUUAUUGUUUCCGAAUUCUGGCUGAGAUCUUUGGCCACGACACCCAGUAUGCCGAUUACCACCAGGACCACCUGUACUGGUUUAUGCCAGAGGCUUUGCAGUUCUAUCUUGAGAUCCUCAUAACGGCUGAGGUUUUCCUGUUGUUUUUCAUCAAUUUGACUGUCACCUGGUAUGUCACAUCAAUAAUCCAAACUUUUUUUCUUUUCCACAACCAUGAGGUCUGGUGUAUUUUGUUCCAAAACUUUGUCAGUCUGGAUUCGAAAGUUCCACAGUAUUUUUGUGUGUUCAUUUUCCACUACCUUUGAAGGUUUGUGAUCCCACCAGUUCUUUACUGCUGGCAAGUGGUACAUGUGACAUAAAUUCCAAUGAAUCAUUAUUAUUAUUACUGCUACUACUACUACUACUACUACUACUACUACUACUACUAUUAUUCACAGGGUUCCCGUGUCGCUAACCCCAGUAAAUGUGGAAGGGUAACUAUACCAGUGGUUCUCAACCUUUGCUUCUCCAGGCUUUUGAACUUCAACUCCCAGAAAUCUCAGCUAGCUUACCAGCUGUUAGGAAUUGUGGAAGCUGAAGUCCAAAAUACCUGGAGGGCCAAAGUUUAGGAACCACUGCUGUAUAUAAAUUAGCAACCUCAUCGUUUAAUUUAUAAAAAAUCAUAUUUUGACUGGAUUAUUUGUAAAAAGCACACACAUGUAAAUAUUUGCAGAGCUACACACACAAACACCUUGAUUUCCAGCACCCUGACUUCCAAGAGCCAUAAUGUUCCCCACGAUAUCAUCUCAUGCCAUCACUUCAAACUGUCAUUUUAUUGUUCAUUUCAUCCACUUGCUCGUGCAGCCCUCCCCAUUCCUUUCCCACAACUCACUCAGAAGAAUUCAAUGUCCUUGAAGACUUUGAUACAUCAACAGGAGCACGGUCCCCAAACGUGAGGUUAGUAAGGUCAUGCCAUGUGCCAUUGAGAGCCACCGAGAAGUUGCUGGCCGAGAAGAGUACCCAGGGCUUUUCUUUAGGGAAACGGAGAGGUGCCACAGUAGUCUCCUUCUGGAGUAGCUGACGGCCCAGUCUCUCAGGGACCAAACCAGACACAUCCCGGACAACCUGGAGGGAAAACGUUUAUUCAUUUUAUACCAGGCACAGGUUGCACUAUAACUAACGUCUCUGAGUGGUUUACAAUGGUAAUAGCUUAAAAAGCACUGGUAUACAAGGAUCAAAGCAAACAAAAUUACAAGAUGUAUUGUCAAAGGCUUUCGUGAUGGGAAUCACUGGGGUGUUUUAUAGUUUUCGGGCUGUAUGGCCGUGUUCUAGCAGCAUUUUCUCCUGACAUUUCUCCUCUACUAUAUCUGAGUAUAGUAGAUGCAGGUGAAAAGUCAGGAGGAAAUGCUGCUAGAACACAGCUAUACAGUCUAGAAAUCACACAACACCCCAAUAUUAAGAUACAUAAUAUAUUAUCCCCACACUAAUGCCUUAAAUCAAGAAAUAGUUUUGUAAGAUCUACAGAGAUACUUGCAGGAACACUUCUGCAAGCAAGAGUCCAAAAGGGGCAGGCUAAAAUCCAGAAUCUCAAUCAGUGGCUGACGCUGGAUGAGAGACUCCCUUCUGGGAGGACCAAAGACUGGGUGACUUUGAAGACGCUGAACAGACUGCAAUCUGGCACCACGAGGUGCAGAGCCAACCUUAAGAAAUGGGGCUACAAAGUGGAGUCCACAACAUACGAGUGUGGAGAAGAGCAAACCACAGACCACCUAUUACAAUGCAGCCUGAGCCCUACCACAUGCACUAUGGAGGACCUCCUUACAGCAACACCUGAGGCACUCCAACUGGCCAGCUACUGGUCAAAGGACAUUUAGUAUAAAGCGAAAUUGGUGCUGUUGUUGUGUAUUUUUUUUACUUAGUGUUUUCAAAUACAUUACAACUUGCACGCUCAGUUCGCUUCUGACACGAUAAAUAAAUAAAUCCCCAUAAAAGCAAAGAAACAGUGUAAGAAGAGAUCAGAAUGAUAGAGAGAGAAAACAGAAGAUGAGACAAAAAACAAGAGAGAAAGAAAGACUGAAAGAUUCAUGUCACAAAGUUGCAUAAGAAGCCCCUUUGGGAUUUAAAAGCCACGGCAAUGAGGAACAAAUGAAUUUAAUAAUGUGUCAAGACAGUCUAAUUUGUUUCUAUGAAUGGAUCACAAAGCCAGCACAGGAAUCAGAAGGUUUACUUACCCGCGAGGGCCGUAAAGCAGUCAGGAUUGCCGUAUAGGGAAUGUCCUCUGACUGAAGGCCACUUAGAACCUGCCCCAGAAUUUCAUCUGUGUGGAUAAAUGUUAGAGAAAAUCUCUAUCCCAAACUGCUCUCAUGUCCUCUCAUGUAUGGGACGGUUACAAGUCCGCAAAUAGAUAUCUGCUUCUCACAGAACACUGGGCUGCAUGUUUGCAUGCCUUAAUAAUUUCAGAAACAAACAGAUUUUACAUGUGUCAAACCAUGUAAAAUCUGGUGAGAGAGCUGAAUACAAGGGUAACCUCUGACCCAGUCAAGCAUUUCCCCCAGCAAGCCUUCCAGACACAUCCAGCACUAGCCUCUCUCAGAGGUUGAAUAUUCAGUCCAACAUGCCCACCACAGUGUCUUCAGGGGCUAUCCUUCCCAGUGGAUUAUGGGUUCCAUACUUUUGCUUACCAUUGCUGGUCAGAACUUCCUUUGGAGCCAUCAAACUUGAACUGUAGGAGUGAAUGAGAGAGGGGGAGAUUCCUGUUAAUGUAUUUCCUUUCAGAAUGAAACUAGUCUCCAACAAAAUGUCAACCUCUCCCUUGACAUUGGAAAUUGUCAGUGGAAAAGGAGUGGAAAUUGCAGGUCCCUUAAGAUAUUGCUGGACUGCAAAGCCAGUAGCCCUAGUCAGCAUAUCCAAUGGUGAAGAAUAAUGGAAGUUACAAUCCUACAAUAUCUCCAGUAAUUCCCAUCACUGUCUAUGGUAGGCAGGUAAGCUGCAGUAAUUUCAUUUAGGGCCCCACUGCCUCUGACUUGAAGUGAGAGAAGGCACACGAUCAAACAUCUACUUGAAUUUUUUGAAAUGCUAGAAAAAAUACAAUGUGCUCAGCAACAGGCAAGUUAAGGGGAGGAAGGUUCCCAUUCACACUGGAAGAAGCAGGAAGUAUUGAUCCCAAGAAAUGUGAGUAGGCUAGAUAGAGGGAUGCUGUGUGCUGAAAAACAUAUCAAAGAGUUAAGAGAUCUUGGGAUAAUAAACACGGACAGCUCAAAUGUCAAUUUUAGCAACUUUUUGGAACUAGAAAAGUAUUUUCUAAAAUAGUGAUAGAUUAUCCAGAUGAUAACACCAAUGCUAAAUAACAAAUUUUGUGCCUGCUAUUCAUACUACUGCUGCACACAUCUCUUCUUGCACUUGGUGAUAUAGAGGGGAAAGCACUUUGGUCAUCUGCAGUAAUAGGAAGGAUGCCAAAAGGCUAUUUACUUACCCAGUAGUAUAGGGCAGCCGUAUUAAUAGCAGGGCAGGUAGGCUGGCGUUGAGUCGCAGCUCCUGAAGGGUAUUCUGAUCCACAUGGAGAGGCGAGAUGCCUAGCUUGGCCUUCAAAAAGGCAGGAACAGCGCUGGCAGCAAACCAGUCCACAGAGGGAAG